rnacentral:misc_RNA from 1 species
CACGUACUGGGCGAACGUUAUUCGGAAUCACUGGGCUUACAGGGUGCGUAGGCGGCCGUUCAGGUUCGGUGUGAAAGGCCCUGGCUCAACCAGGGCACUGCGCUGAAAACCGUCCGGCUCGAGUCAGCUAGGGGUCUGCGGAACUUCCGGUGGAGCGGUGAAAUGUGUUGAUAUCGGAAGGAACGCCGGUGGCGAAAGCGGCAGACUGGGGCUCGACUGACGCUGAGGCACGAAAGCCAGGGGAGCGAACGGG